rnacentral:lncRNA from 1 species
GAUCAGAAAAUUGAAUCAAGAAAAGGGUUGCUUGAUCCAAUGAAAAUGCAAAUAGCUGAUGGCAAAAGGGAACGAAGCUAAAUAAGAAAACGGCUAGCACGAGCAGUGACCACGAUAAAUAGAAGCAAAGUGUGUAUGAGAUCAAAAGACGAAAAUCAGGAGAGGUUUUCUUGACUGAGAAUUGAAGGCAAAGAGUAGGAGCUGACGAAUACGGGGAUCAAGAGGGAAAAACUGCUUGCUCGUAAAACUACUUACAAGCGAAUCUGAUAAAAUUAUUUCAAUACUCGUGGGCGACUCCUUUUUAAACUGCAGA